rnacentral:rRNA from 1 species
ACUUUAUUUGAUUUCCUUCGGGACUGAUUAUUUUGUGACUGAGUGGCGGACGGGUGAGUAACACGUGAGCAACCUGCCUUUCAGAGGGGGAUAACGGCUGGAAACGGUCGCUAAUACCGCAUAAGACCACAGCACCGCAUGGUGCGGGGGUAAAAACUCCGGUGGUAUGAGAUGGACCCGCGUCUGAUUAGCUAGUUGGUAAGGUAACGGCUUACCAAGGCGACGAUCAGUAGCCGACCUGAGAGGGUGACCGGCCACAUUGGGACUGAGACACGGCCCAAACUCC